rnacentral:rRNA from 1 species
UACAGAGGGGGCAAGCGUUGUUCGGAAUUACUGGGCGUAAAGGGCGCGUAGGUGGCCUUCUAAGUUGAACGUGAAAUCCCUGGGCUCAACCCAGGAACUGCGUCCAAGACUGGGAGGCUUGAAUCCGGAAGAGGAAAGUGGAAUUCCUGGUGUAGCGGUGAAAUGCGCAGAUAUCAGGAAGAACACCCGUGGCGAAGGCGGCUUUCUGGGACGGUACUGACGCUGAGACGCGAAAGCGUGGGGAGCGAACAGG